rnacentral:tRNA from 2 species
GGAGAGGUGGGAGAGUGGCUUAAUCCACCAGUUUGCUAAACUGGCGUACUCGAUUAGGGUACCGGGGGUUCGAAUCCCCCCCUCUCCGCAA